rnacentral:lncRNA from 1 species
CCGAUCGCUAUGUAUAAAUAAGAACCAGCUUGCUAGUAUCUUCUAAAUUAGGAAGUUAGGUGACGAAGGAACCAUUCAAAACCGUUGAGACUAAUUGCUAGUACAGUACUGUGGCAUUUAUGUUUCAUUGUCGGAAGAGUUAUACUUUAAUUUUUGAACGAAGGAAGAAGGACCAUGGAGUGCGUUUAUAGUGAAUCAAACUUUAUCACAGAAAAUAUUUUACUAAAAAUUGAGCAUAAUACAUUCCUAGAGAACGUUAAACAUCGUAAAAUAUUUUAUACAGAGAAAAGAAAUGUACAUAAAGAUGUACAGACUUCACUGGGUAAAAUUGACAGAGGCAAACUUCCACAUGGAUCUUUAAUUCUUCAAGCCUUACUUAAAGAAAUAAACGGGACUCGUUAUGGUCGAUAGAUGCAUAAUUACUCAAGACAAUAAAUAUUCCUUAGAACAGUGUGCGUAUGUUUAUGCACGGUAUGUGUACAAAACAUGUGAGCCACCCAU